rnacentral:rRNA from 1 species
GAUGAACGCUGGCGGCGUGCCUAAUACAUGCAAGUCGAGCGAACAGACGAGGAGCUUGCUCCUCUGACGUUAGCGGCGGACGGGUGAGUAACACGUGGAUAACCUACCUAUAAGACUGGGAUAACUUCGGGAAACCGGAGCUAAUACCGGAUAAUAUAUUGAACCGCAUGGUUCAAUAGUGAAAGACGGUUUUGCUGUCACUUAUAGAUGGAUCCGCGCCGCAUUAGCUAGUUGGUAGGGUAACGGCCUACCAAGGCAACGAGGCGUAGCCGACCUGAGAGGGUGAUCGGCCACACGGGAGCGGAGACGCGGUCCAGACGCCUACGGGAGGCAGCAGUAGGGAAUCUUCCGCAGUGGGCGAAAGCCUGACGGAGCAGCGCCGCGUGAGUGAUGAAGGUCUUCGGAUCGUAAAACUCUGUUAUUAGUGAAGAACAAAUGUGUAAGUAACUAUGCACGUCUUGACGGUACCUAAUCAGAAAGCCACGGCUAACUACGUG